GCCAAUGUGGUGUAGUGGUUUGAGAAUUGGACUAUGACUCAAGUCCUGGGUUCGAAUCCCCACUCAGUCA